UGGGGAAUUUUGGACAAUGGGGGAAACCCUGAUCCAGCCAUCCCGCGUGUGCGAUGAAGGCCUUCGGGUUGUAAAGCACUUUUGGGAGGAAAGAAACGUCAUGGGUUAAUACCCCGUGAAACUGACGGUACCUGCAGAAUAAGCACCGGCUAACUACGUGCCAGCAGCCGCGGUAAUACGUAGGGUGCAAGCGUUAAUCGGAAUUACUGGGCGUAAAGCGUGCGCAGGCGGUUCGGAAAGAAAGAUGUGAAAUCCCAGAGCUCAACUUUGGAACUGCAUUUUUAACUACCGGGCUAGAGUGUGUCAGAGGGAGGUGGAAUUCCGCGUGUAGCAGUGAAAUGCGUAGAUAUGCGGAGGAACACCGAUGGCGAAGGCAGCCUCCUGGGAUAACACUGACGCUCAUGCACGAAAGCGUGGGGAGCAAACAGG
rnacentral:rRNA from 1 species